rnacentral:rRNA from 1 species
ACCUAGUAGUACGGAAUAGCCAUUAGAAAUGGUGGGUAAUACUGUAUAAUCCCCGAGGGGGAAAGAUUUAUCGCUAUUAGAUGAGCCUACGUUAGAUUAGCUAGUUGGUGAGGUAAUGGCUUACCAAGGCUAUGAUCUAUAGCUGGUCUGAGAGGACGAUCAGCCACACUGGAACUGAGAUACGGUCCAGACUCCUACGGGAGGCAGCAGUGGGGAAUAUUGGACAAUGGGCGAAAGCCUGAUCCAGCUAUGCCGCGUGAGUGAAGAAGGCCUUCGGGUUGUAAAACUCUUUCAAUAGGGAAGAUAAUGACGGUACCUAUAGAAGAAGUCCCGGCAAACUCUGUGCCAGCAGCCGCGGUAAUACGGAGGGGGCAAGCGUUGUUCGGAAUUAUUGGGCGUAAAGGGCACGUAGGUGGACUAGUAAGUUAAAAGUGAAAUACCAAAGCUUAACUUUGGAGCGGCU